AUUGAACGCUGGCGGCAUGCCUAACACAUGCAAGUCGAACGGCAGCACGGUCUAGCUUGCUAGACUGGUGGCGAGUGGCGCACGGGUGAGUAAUGCGUAGGAAUAUGCCUUGAAGUGGGGGAUAACUUGGGGAAACUCAAGCUAAUACCGCAUAAUCUCUAAGGAGGAAAGCUGGGGACCUUCGGGCCUGGCGCUUUACGAUUCGCCUACGUCCGAUUAGCUAGUUGGUAGGGUAAAGGCCUACCAAGGCGACGAUCGGUAGCUGGUCUGAGAGGAUGAUCAGCCACACUGGGACUGAGACACGGCCCAGACUCAUACGGGAGGCAGCAGUGGGGAAUAUUGGACAAUGGGGGCAACCCUGAUCCAGCGAUGCCGCGUGUGUGAAGAAGGCCUGCGGGUUGUAAAGCACUUUCAGUGGGGAGGAGAGCUGGUUGGUUAAGAGCUGACGAGUGAGACGUUACCCACAGAAGAAGCACCGGCUAACUCCGUGCCAGCCGCCGCGGUAACAC
rnacentral:rRNA from 1 species